rnacentral:rRNA from 1 species
GUGCCAGCAGCCGCGGUAAUACGUAGGUGGCAAGCGUUGUCCCGGAUUUAUUGGGCGUAAAGCGAGCGCAGGCGGUUCUUUAAGUCUGAUGUGAAAGCCCACGGCUCAACCGUGGAAGGUCAUUGGAAACUGGGGAACUUGAGUGCAGAAGAGGAGAGUGGAAUUCCAUGUGUAGCGGUGAAAUGCGUAGAUAUAUGGAGGAACACCAGUGGCGAAGGCGACUCUCUGGUCUGUAACUGACGCUGAGGCUCGAAAGCGUGGGGAGCAAACAGGAUUAGAUACCCUGGUAGUCC